rnacentral:rRNA from 1 species
CCUGGCUCAGAUUGAACGCUGGCGGCAGGCCUAACACAUGCAAGUCGAGCGGAUGAGUGGAGCUUGCUCCAUGAUUCAGCGGCGGACGGGUGAGUAAUGCCUAGGAAUCUGCCUGGUAGUGGGGGACAACGUUUCGAAAGGAACGCUAAUACCGCAUACGUCCUACGGGAGAAAGCAGGGGACCUUCGGGCCUUGCGCUAUCAGAUGAGCCUAGGUCGGAUUAGCUAGUUGGUGAGGUAAAGGCUCACCAAGGCGACGAUCCGUAACUGGUCUGAGAGGAUGAUCAGUCACACUGGAACUGAGACACGGUCCAGACUCCUACGGGAGGCAGCAGUGGGGAAUAUUGGACAAUGGGCGAAAGCCUGAUCCAGCCAUGCCGCGUGUGUGAAGAAGGUCUUCGGAUUGUAAAGCACUUUAAGUUGGGAGGAAGGGCAGUAAGUUAAUACCUUGCUGUUUGACGUACC